CUGAAGAAUUCCAAACUCAAAAUCCUUUACUCCUUAAGAAUUCCAAACUCAAAACACUGUACCCCUGAAGAAUUCCAAACUCAAAAUCCUUUACCCCUGAAGAAUUCCAAGCUCAAAACACUGUACCCCUGAAGAAUUCCAAACUCAAAAUCCUUUACCCCUUAAGAAUUCCAAACUCAAAACACUCUACCCCUGAAGAAUUCCAAACUCAAAAUCCUUUACCCCUAGCUUAAGGAUUCCAAACUCAAAACACUGUACCCCUGAAGAAUUCCAAACUCAAAAUCCUUAACCCCUUAAGAAUUCCAAGCUCAAAACACUCUACCCCUGAAGAAUUCCAAGCUCAAAAUCCU